UCUAAACCUAACCUAACACUCCCUCUCACUCUCCUCUCUCUUUCUCUUCUGUCUCCUAUGUUGUCGCCUCUAGUGGCGCCACUGGUGACCACCACCUCCUCCCUCGUCGCCCUGUCUCUCUUCUCAUAUUCUCUUCACCAAUCUUCAUCGGUCGUCUACUUCAUUUUCUCCACUCUCGUCGUCGGUUCCAAAACCCUAACCCUACUUUUGAUCUUCUUCAAUCCCUCCACAAGCCAUAUGUUCGAAUCUAGACCCUUCACUCCCCUCAACUGUUUCAGAACCUUUGUCUACAAAGGACUACCACCGGACUCGUCAGAAUGAUGAUCUCGAACAGGUUGAUUGCGAUGAGAAAGAUCAGGUGGUGAGGCACAUUAAUGCAUUAGAAACGAAAUCAGAUUAGUGCUCCUACUUCAACAUGAGAUUCUUGUAUCCUAUCCAAUUGAACAGGCGGUUGUUAGUGCUCCUACUUCAGGUUCUUUAUCAGAAAUAGACAUGCAGGUCACUAAUACUAGUGGCACCUUAGUUCUUCACUAGGGUGGGAUACAAAAUGGAAAAGAGAAGUGGGUACUUCCUUCUCGUUCUCCUGAAGGAACUAGGAUGUAUAAGAACAGAGCUCUUAGAACUCCUUUUGUGAAAUCUAGCUCCAAUUUCUUUUUGAAAAUAGAGAUUGAUGAUCCGACAAUACAUGCUAUAGAGUUUCUUAUAGUUGAGGAAGAACAGAACAAAUGGUUCAAAAAUGAUGGUGGCAACUUUCAUGUUCCACUGACAGACAAGUUAAUUCCAAAUAUUUCAGUUCCUGAAGAUCUUGUACUGAUACAAGCGUAUUUGAGGUGGGAAAGGAAGGGUAAAUAGAUGUAUGGUACUGAGGAAGAGAGGGCAAGUAACUAACGCUGGUUUAUGAAUGGAUUAACUCAGAAAAUUCUUUGUGCUAAGACUUUGUAUUCAAUUACAUGUUUUUUUUUUUCUUUCAAAAGCGACGACCAAUAUUUGUGGUGAACAAGUUUUAAUGGUUUUCAAUUCCCAAACGAAGAUCUGGGUUUUUAUUUCUGCUCAAAUAAGCUAGAAAAAUAGCUUUUACAAUCUUUUCAUUCUCACACUCUGCCUAGUGUUUUAAUGUUUCAUUGUUUGAUAUCCCAGCAUAAACAUGUGGUUCUCACGAAUUUGCCUAUACACAAACAUAUGCCUUAUGUUUUGUUGUGGGUGCUGCGAGUAUGUAUCGAUAUUAUUAUUAUUAAGUUAUAAAACGUUGCAUUUUUAGGUCAUUCUGUCAUUGUGCAUGAGGAUGUCUUCACUAACUGCGAGUAAUGUCCCUACCCCGGCAACAAUACCGUCAGGCCAUCCUUGGGUUCAGGUUGAUGGAGUGGCACCCGAUAAGCCUCUUGACCCUGCAGUCUUCAGCCACUUGACACACUUUUCUGCCAUGAACAAGCUUAAGAAAAUAGCUCUUCGCCAAUUUGAGGUGGAAUAAGCUGCGAGAUGUCAUUCCUCCUUAAAUUGCAUUCCCUAGGUAACUAUAGGCGUAGUUAGGAGAUACCUGCACAAGUCAUUGUCUGCCACUAUGGAGUUCAUAAUUGAGAGUGAGAAAGCUAGUCUCCUUGAUUAACCAGUGUCUCCUGAACUGGUCAUAUUUUACAUUACUCAGGACACGCAAAGAGAUUCAUUACUUCCUGAACUAAGAUCAGGUUGUUUCUUGUUCUCAUUUCCCCUCUCUUUCUAGUUUUUAUGAAUUACAAAGGGCUAAAGUAACAUUUUUCCAGCUUCCAUGUCCUUACGAACCUUGUAGUUAUAGUUUUUUUAAACACUGAUAAGCAUGAAGGUUGAUGAAAGUCGAAAGGCCUGCUGAUACAUUUUUAGCAAAACGGUGAUCAUUAUUGUUUUGCAUUUGGUAGGGACCUCUUAAAGUUAGCUCAUUGCUACACUAAGAUUGUCAUAUUGACAAUAGUUGUUGCUAACUAGGUGGUUUCCAAGUAAUUGGUAAAAUUGGCACGCAGUGCUCAAUGCCUGAUCCUCUUAAGGGCGAGCUAACAGUUGAAGUGUCUAUAGUUCCUAUUCAUUCCAUUGAUAUCAACUUGCUUCGUGUAGAGUCAAUUAUGGUCGGAGAAAGGAUCAUAACUGAAACCUCUUUAAUUCAGACUGCGCAGGCAUGCAACAUUUCAUAUUUUAGAGUCAAUUCUAGUCAAUUCAUUCUUUUGGACUAAAUAUUAGACUAAUUAAUUUACGAUUUGUAGUUAUACUUUUUGGAUGUUUAAAGUUGUAUUUUAGAGAUUAGUGAACCUUAUGAUUUGGAUUCUUUUCUUGGUUUGUAUAUUUGAGGUUGUUAUCAGCUUAAUAUGAUAGAAGUUGAGGAUGGUAGUUAGUAUGCAGGUUGUUUGGUGUAUGGAUAUUAGCUUUUUUUACUUAAUUCAUAGUUGUUGCUUCA